rnacentral:tRNA from 1 species
UAGACGCACCAGAUUUAGGUUCUGGCGCCGCAAGGUGUGCGAGUUCAAGUCUCGCCUCCCGCACCAUUUCAUUAUUCGGCAGCGU